CUUGACGACCAUAGCAAGGUGGUCCCACUCCUUCCCAUCCCGAACAGGACAGUGAAACGCCUUUGCGCCGAUGAUAGUGGACUUUCGUCUGUGAAAGUAGGUCAUCGUCAGGC
rnacentral:rRNA from 2 species